CCUACGGGAGGCAGCAGUGAGGAAUAUUGGUCAAUGGACGAGAGUCUGAACCAGCCAAGUAGCGUGAAGGAUGACUGCCCUAUGGGUUGUAAACUUCUUUUAUAUGGGAAUAAAAUGUUCCACGUGUGGGACUUUGUAUGUACCAUAUGAAUAAGGAUCGGCUAACUCCGUGCCAGCAGCCGCGGUAAUACGGAGGGUCCGAGCGUUAUCCGGAUUUAUUGGGUGUAAAGGGAGCGUAGGUGGAUUGUUAAGUCAGUUGUGAAAGUUUGCGGCUCAACCGUAAAAUUGCAGUUGAAACUGGCAGUCUUGAGUGCAGUAGAGGUAGGCGGAAUUCGUAGUGUAGCGGUGAAAUGCGUAGAUAUCACGAAGAACUCCGGUUGCGAAGGCAGCUCACUGGACUGCAACUGACGCUGAGGCUCGAAAGUGUGGGGAGCAAACAGGAUUAGAUACCCCAGUAGUC
rnacentral:rRNA from 1 species